rnacentral:rRNA from 1 species
CUAUGGGUGGCACCAGUGGGGAAUAUUGGACAAUGGGGGAAACCCUGAUCCAGCAAUGCCGCGUGUGUGAAGAAGGCCUGCGGGUUGUAAAGCACUUUCGGUUGGGAGGACUGCUUCUAGCACUAAUAUUGUUGGAAGUUGACGUUACCUUCAGAAGAAGCACCGGCUAACUCCGUGCCAGCAGCCGCGGUAAUACGGAGGGUGCAAGCGUUAAUCGGAAUUACUGGGCGUAAAGCGCGCGUAGGCGGCUAGAUCAGUCGGGUGUGAAAGCCCCGGGCUUAACCUGGGAACUGCAUCCGAUACUGUCUAGCUUGAGUACAGGAGAGGAGAGUGGAAUUCCACAUGUAGCGGUGACAUGCGUAGAUAUGUGGAGGAACACCAAUGGCGAAGGCAGCUCUCUGGCCUGAUACUGACGCUGAGGUGCGAAAGCGUGAGGAGCAAACAGGAUUAGAUACCCGCGUAGUC